rnacentral:rRNA from 1 species
UACAUAUGGGGCAAGCGUUGUUCGGAAUUACUGGGCAUAAAGGGUGUGUAGGUGGCGCCGUAAGUCGGGUGUGAAAUUUCGGAGCUUAACUCCGAAACUGCAUUCGAUACUGCGGUGCUUGAGGACUGGAGAGGAGACUGGAAUUCAUGGUGUAGCAGUGAAAUGCGUAGAGAUCAUGAGGAAGACCAGUGGCGAAGGCGGGUCUCUGGACAGUUCCUGACACUGAGACACGAAGGCCAGGGGAGCAAACGGG